rnacentral:lncRNA from 1 species
GCAAACAUAAAAUGGAAGUACCUCAAACGAUGAAAAAGAAAAACGCCAAAAAGAAUACCAAUGAUGAGCCUACGUAGUGGGAACGUAGGCUGGGAAGAGAUGUGCGCUAUAACAUAAGAAUCUUGGAGCCCAUGAAACCAUUUAUAGACACUUUCAUGACAAGCCAAGAGGCACAAAGCUUAGAAUGGUUCGGACGAUCAAACGAUUCAUUGGAGGGGAGUACAGUUUGGGAGGAGCAAGAAGACACAGUUGAAGAAAAAGAAGAGGAUGACGAGGCCACGGAGGAUGGCAAUUUCGCAUCCUAUUGCGGCAAGUUCGAAGGAGCUUUUGCGUCUGUGCAGUGACCCACGGGGGGACCCGUCAUUCGCGAGCCAAGUAGCCGACCUGAAAUGCCUUUCGCAAAGCCAACCAUGAGGGGAAAAGGUAAAGGAAUUGUGAGACUGAGUGAGGAUCCCGAAGAUGCUCGAUAUUAGUUACAUGCUUUAACAUUUAUUUUGAU